UUUUGCUUCUCUGACUAAUCCCGUCUUCACUCUGGUGGACAGCCUCCUAAAAUAUCACUAAUACACCAGGAACAGGUGUAUUUAUUUUUAUAUCACGUAACACUUUAAUUGCACACCAUUCAACCGUGUGGGACUUGGUUUCACCUGAACUACUACAGGGGUUUCACACCAAUGGAGGCGAACACUUAUUCGAUCACAAGGGUUCAGCGAGGAGACGGUGCUGACGAAUAAGGAGCUAACAGUGGUCAAGAGCUUCGUUAAUCUGCACCCGAGGACACCUGUUACACACCAUGACCCUAAAAGGACACGGCAGAGCCAAUCAGAAUGCAGCAGCUCCACGCUGUCCAGAAAACAGUUGUGAAGGAGGGACAGAGAUCUUCAUACAUCCCCCUUCCAUUCAGCCACUUAAACCCCACCUCAGCUGUCUGGCAUGUUUUGGGCUCCAUCACACAUGCCAUAGACAGCAUUGCACAGCGCUAUGCAUUUGCCCCCCUUGGCUGGAUCCUUAACUAGACCUGAAACAUUGACCAUUACAGCAGAUCUCCUCCCACUCCCACUUCGCAUUUUCAUACGAACAGACAGAAUUGAAACUAAAAUGUUUAACACACAAAAACACGAUACAGAUAAAACUGAACUGGAUUGAAUUGGAGCAGUGACUUCGAUAUUGUGCUUGUUUAUUUAGGCAACAUUUGAGCAGUGUAUAAGACAUGAGAUUGCAUCAUAACCCUAUUGGCACCAAUGCAAAAAUAUGCAGAUUGAGACUUAUAUGUAUCAUGACAUGGCUCAAACAAACAAACAAACAAACAAAACCCCUGUCAUAACUGUUAAACAAUACAACUCAACCUUUACACGCAAAUAUAGUCAGUAAUUCUGCCACAGGGAGGGACUCUUGACUCUUAAAAAUGAC
ensembl:lncRNA